rnacentral:rRNA from 1 species
UACGUAGGCAGCAAGCGUUGUUCGGAGUUACUGGGCGUAAAGGGUGCGUAGGCGGCCUUAUAAGUAUGGUGUGAAAUCUCCCGGCUUAACUGGGAGGGUGCGCUAUAGACUGUGGGGCUAGAGUGUGGGAGAGGAAAGUGGAAUUCCUGGUGUAGCGGUGAAAUGCGUAGAUAUCAGGAGGAACACCGGUGGUGUAAACGGCUUUCUGGACCAUAACUGACGCUGAGGCACGAAAGCUAGGGGAGCAAACAGG